rnacentral:rRNA from 1 species
GAUGAACGCUGGCGGCGUGCCUAACACAUGCAAGUCGAGCGAAGCACUUUGAUUGGAUUCUUCGGAUGAAGAUAAUUGUGACUGAGCGGCGGACGGGUGAGUAACGCGUGGGCAACCUGCCUUACACAGGGGGAUAACAGUUAGAAAUGACUGCUAAUACCGCAUAAGACCGCGGAACCGCAUGGUUCUGAGGUAAAAACUCCGGUGGUGUAAGAUGGGCCCGCGUCUGAUUAGGUAGUUGGUGAGGUAACGGCUCACCAAGCCGACGAUCAGUAGCCGACCUGAGAGGGUGACCGGCCACAUUGGGACUGAGACACGGCCCAG